CCCGCUAUUBGGAGGUUCGAAUCCUUCCGUCCCAG
rnacentral:tRNA from 1 species